CCAAACCUUACGUCCCCGAGAAUCGAUAGCAGAUUGAGGUUGCCGAUACACUGGCCUCCAAGAUCUUGCCGUCACAAACAACAUAAAUCAAAAAACUAGGUGCCGCAACUGGUCCCGGCCUCGGUCGGUUGACUAGCUGUAGUGCCGCCCAUUACUAAAUACAACUUGAACUGAACCAAAACUGUCACUGGAACCUUCGGGUUCUUUUGGCUGUAUAAUUCAUUACAACUUUCAGCAAUGGAUGUCUUGGAUCCCACAACGAUGAAGAACGCAGCGAAAUGCGAUACGUAAUGCGAAUUGCAGGACCUCGUGAAUCAUCAAAAUUUUGAACGCACAUUGCGCUUCUGGGUAAUGCCCAGGAGCAUGCUUAUCUGAGUGUCCCUAAACCCCACUCAGCCAUUGCUAGUACCUAACAGUGCUAGUGGUGAGCUGGACUAUGAUAGUGCACGGUUCUGCCGUGCUCUGUUCAAAUCCAUCAGUUUGAUGUUUUGCCCGGGCAGCCUUGGCUGCGGGUCUGAUACAAACGCAACAAAAGAUUCGGUAGAUGCACUUAUGUGCGUUUCUUAUCCUGAGUUGUGUGAGUGGAAGACCAACCGAGCGCUACUUUAAAAUGGGUCUGCUGGCUUUUGCCAGUCAUUCCUAAUAUAAAUGUAUCUAUCUAUGGAUCUCAGAUUAAGUAAGAUUACCC
rnacentral:rRNA from 1 species